CGGCACUUGCACAUGGGUUAGU
rnacentral:snRNA from 1 species